rnacentral:rRNA from 1 species
GAUGAACGCUGGCGGCGUGCCUAAUACAUGCAAGUCGAGCGAACGGACGAGAAGCUUGCUUCUCUGAUGUUAGCGGCGGACGGGUGAGUAACACGUGGAUAACCUACCUAUAAGACUGGGAUAACUUCGGGAAACCGGAGCUAAUACCGGAUAAUAUUUUGAACCGCAUGGUUCAAAAGUGAAAGACGGUCUUGCUGUCACUUAUAGAUGGAUCCGCGCUGCAUUAGCUAGUUGGUAAGGUAACGGCUUACCAAGGCAACGAUGCAUAGCCGACCUGAGAGGGUAAUCGGCCACACUGGAACUGAGACACGGUCCAGACUCCUACGGGAGGCAGCAGUAGGGAAUCUUCCGCAAUGGGCGAAAGCCUGACGGAGCAACGCCGAGUGAGUGAUGAAGGUCUUCGGAUCGUAAAACUCUGUUAUUAGGGAAGAACAUAUGUGUAAGUAACUGUGCACAUCUUGACGGUACCUAAUCAGAAAGCCACGGCUAACUACGUG